AACGAACGCUGGCGGCAGGCCUAACACAUGCAAGUCGAGCGCCCAGCAAUGGGAGCGGCAGACGGGUGAGUAACGCGUGGGAACCUUCCCAAUGGUACGGAAUAGCUCAGGGAAACUUGAGGUAAUACCGUAUACGCCCGAAAGGGGAAAGAUUUAUCGCCAUUGGAUGGGCCCGCGUAGGAUUAGCUAGUUGGUGAGGUAAUGGCUCACCAAGGCGACGAUCCUUAGCUGGUUUGAGAGAAUGACCAGCCACACUGGGACUGAGACACGGCCCAGACUCCUACGGGAGGCAGCAGUGGGGAAUCUUGGACAAUGGGCGCAAGCCUGAUCCAGCCAUGCCGCGUGAGUGACGAAGGUCUUCGGAUUGUAAAGCUCUUUUUGCCAGGGACGAUAAUGACGGUACCUGGAGAAUAAGCCCCGGCUAACUUCGUGACAGCAGCCGCAGU
rnacentral:rRNA from 1 species